rnacentral:rRNA from 1 species
GACGAACGCUGGCGGCGUGCCUAACACAUGCAAGUCGAGCGAUGAAGCCCUUCGGGGUGGAUUAGCGGCGGACGGGUGAGUAACACGUGGGUAACCUGCCUUGUAGAGGGGGAUAGCCUUCCGAAAGGAAGAUUAAUACCGCAUAACAUCUUUUUAUCGCAUGAUAGAAAGAUCAAAGGAGUAAUCCGCUACAAGAUGGACCCGCGGCGCAUUAGCUAGUUGGUGAGGUAACGGCUCACCAAGGCGACGAUGCGUAGCCGACCUGAGAGGGUGAUCGGCCACAUUGGAACUGAGACACGGUCCAGACUCCUACGGGAGGCUG